rnacentral:rRNA from 1 species
UACGUAGGGUGCAAGCGUUGUCCGGAAUUAUUGGGCGUAAAGAGCUCGUAGGUGGCCUGUCGCGUCGGCUGUGAAAACCCAGGGCUUAACCCUGGGCUUGCAGUGGAUACGGGCAGACUAGAGGCAGGUAGGGGAGAAUGGAAUUCCUGGUGUAGCGGUGAAAUGCGCAGAUAUCAGGAGGAACACCAAUGGCGAAGGCAGCUCGCUGGGACGGUACUGACGCUGAGACGCGAAAGCGUGGGGAGCAAACAGG